UAGCAUCAGCACCGCGAUCUCCGCGGGAUGGACUCAGCGCUGGGAGCUGUGUCAUGCCAGCGCAAGAGUGACGUCGCAGCAAACCUCGGCACAUCUACAAGAACAAGGCUCACGGGUCACUCUGCGGGACGUUGUCCAGUUGGAAGUAGACUUGUCUUUGAGGCCGGCAACAGGUCUGGACCUGGGAGGACAAUGCCUGGUGGGCUGGCAGGCUUUCCACAUGUGACCUUCCUUCGUCAUUCAAGUGUUUUUAUUGCUUCUAUCUGCUUCCUCCACUACGAUUCCACAUCAGCCAGGGCAAUACCUGAGCAGGUCCCGCUCAGCCUCUGGUCAAGUCUCAUGAAGGCAGAUUGGUGUGCUGAAACUCCCCUUCCGUAGAUCAUGGUUCUUGGCAGAUGCCAUUGCACUGUGUUUGUCUAGUUGUGUGUUUUGACUCAAUUGUUUCCGUCGGGAAAAGGUGCUCGAAGUGGGAGGUGUCAAAAAGCACUCCGUACUGAUGUCUUUGAUGAGAGCCGCUACAGUGGCAUUUACAUUUAUUCAUUUAGAUGCCGCUUUUCUCCAGAGCAACUUCCCAGGUUAAACUACCUACAACACAAUGUAGCAGAAAUGUUACUAUGUUGAUACAAUGAACUGAAUUCAGUUUUGUUAGAUUAAGCAUACUUUUGCCAUUAGUUUCUACUAUAUGUCAGUUUUUAGAAAUAUUCCACAUUCUUGAAAUUAGCAAAUUUUAGCACCGGGUUCCAAGCCCCAAAUGUUUCAGUACUUUUUAGGAUCUGAUGCUUUCUAGAAUGCUUGUGUUGUUUUAUGUAGCACCAUGGUCCUGGAGGAACGUUGUUUCGUUUCACUGUGUCCUGCACCAGCUGUACACGGUUCAAAUGACAAUAAACCCUCUUUUGUCUUGUCUUGCUUUGGUACU
rnacentral:lncRNA from 1 species